AAACAUGGUUUUUUGAAAAUAAUUUAAAAUCAGAUCUGCUCAAUGAAAUUUUUAAAUAGCUGCGGUAUAUUGACCGUACUAAGGUAGCAUAAUCAAUAGUUUUUUAAUUGGAAGCUGGAAUGAAUGAUUAAAUGAAAUAAUUAUUGUCUCAAUUUUAUUAAUUUUAAAAUUUUUUUUUUAAUAAAAAUAUUAAAUUGAAAAUAAAAGACGAGAAGACCCUAUAGAUUUUUAUAAUUUUUUUAUAAUUUUAUUUUAAUAAAAAUUUUUAAUUUUAAUUAAAUUAUUUAGUUGGGGAAAUUUUUAAAUUUAUUAAAUUUUAAUUUUUUUUUAACAAUAAUUAUUGUUUAUUUGAUUAUAAAUUUUAUAAUUAGAGAAUAAAUUACCUUAGGGAUAACAGCGUAAUUUUUUUAGAAAGAUCAUAUUAAUAAAAAAGAUUGCGACCUCGAUGUUGAAUUAAGAUAAAAUUUUAAUGUAGAAGUUAAAAAUUUUUGGUUUGUUCAACCAUUAAAAUCUUACGUGAUCUGAGUUCA
rnacentral:rRNA from 1 species